rnacentral:rRNA from 1 species
UACGAAGGGGGCUAGCGUUGCUCGGAAUCACUGGGCGUAAAGCGCACGUAGGCGGAUCUUUAAGUCAGGGGUGAAAUCCUGGAGCUCAACUCCAGAACUGCCUUUGAUACUGGGGAUCUCGAGUCCGGGAGAGGUGAGUGGAACUGCGAGUGUAGAGGUGAAAUUCGUAGAUAUUCGCAAGAACACCAGUGGCGAAGCCGGCUCACUGGCCCGAUACUGACGCUGAGGCACGAAAGCGUGGGGAGCAAACAGG